UACGGGGGGGGGUAAGCGUUGUUCGGAAUUACUGGGCGUAAAGGGCUCGUAGGCGGCCAACUAAGUCAGACGUGAAAUCCCUCAGCUUAACUGGGGAACUGCGUCUGAUACUGGAUGGCUUGGAUUCGGGAGAGGAGAGUGGAAUUCCUGGUGUAGCGGUGAAAUGCGCAGAUAUCAGGAAGAACACCCGUGGCGAAGGCGGCUCUCUGGAACGCAACUGACGCUGAGACGCGAAAGCGUGGGGAGCAAACAGG
rnacentral:rRNA from 1 species